ensembl:miRNA
GAGGGUGGUGGAGGAAGAGGGCAGCUCCCAUGACUGCCUGACCACCUUCUCUCCUCCCCCAG